GAUGAACGCUGGCGGCGUGCCUAAUACAUGCAAGUCGAGCGAACGGACGAGAAGCUUGCUUCUCUGAUGUUAGCGGCGGACGGGUGAGUAACACGUGGAUAACCUACCUAUAAGACUGGGAUAACUUCGGGAAACCGGAGCUAAUACCGGAUGAUAUUUUGAACCGCAUGGUUCAAAAGUGAAAGACGGUCUUGCUGUCACUUAUAGAUGGAUCCGCGCUGCAUUAGCUAGUUGGUAAGGUAACGGCUUACCAAGGCAACGAUGCAUAGCCGACCUGAGAGGGUGAUCGGCCACACUGGAACUGAGACCCGGUCCAAAACCCUACGGGAGGCAGCAGGAGGGAAUCUUCCGCAAUGGGCGAAAGCCUGACGGAGCAACGCCGGGGGAGUGAUGAAGGUCUUCGGAUCGUAAAACGCUUUUAUUAGGGAAAAAAAAAUGUGUAAGUAACUGGGAACAUCUUGACGGUACCAAAUCAGAAAGCCACGGCUAACUACGU
rnacentral:rRNA from 1 species